rnacentral:rRNA from 1 species
UACGGGGGGGCGAGCGUUGUUCGGAAUUACUGGGCGUAAAGGGUUUGUAGGUGGCCUGCUAAGUCAGACGUGAAAUCCCUCAGCUUAACUGGGGAACUGCGUCUGAUACUGGCGGGCUUGAGGACAGGAGAGGAACGCGGAAUUCCAGGUGUAGCGGUGAAAUGACGUAGAGUAUCUGGAGGAACACCGGUGGCGAAGGCGGCUUCCUGGACCGAUACUGACGCUGAGGCGCGAAAGCUAGGGGAGCAAACGGG